UACGUAGGGUGCAAGCGUUAAUCGGAAUUACUGGGCGUAAAGCGUGCGCAGGCGGUGAUGUAAGACAGAUGUGAAAUCCCCGGGCUCAACCUGGGAACUGCAUUUGUGACUGCACGGCUAGAGUGCGGCAGAGGGGAUGGAAUUCCGCGUGUAGCAGUGAAAUGCGUAGAUAUGCGGAGGAACACCGAUGGCGAAGGCAAUCCCUGGGCCUGCACUGACGCUCAUGCACGAAAGCGUGGGAGCAAACAGG
rnacentral:rRNA from 1 species